GAGUCGGUGGCCGGCUGAGCUUCGAUGAAUUUCUUUGUCUUGGUCGCUGGCCGCGGCGUGCGCCGUGCAGAGGAGGUUCGCUGGCGGAGCUCUGUGUGUCUGCAUUUGCGGACAGAAAGUUGUGGAAGAAAUGGCAAUAAACGCCAGCAGUUACAGAGCCAGCGCGGCCCCAGCAGCGAGAGUGGUGCCACCAAGCUCCUUCCCCAGGACUUCACUCAGCAUCUCAGCAUCCAGCUGCCAGAGCUUUGAAAUGUGUCUCACCAGCUUCACUGUACCUGCUCAGAGCACUGGCAACAGCUGAGUGGCGCUACCUCCUCCACCACAGUUGGAGUCCCGGCCCCAUGAGAAUUUCCUCUGGGUUCAGAGACACCAGCAGGCCACUUUCUCAGAAAGUGAGUGGAACAUGAAGGAGAAAACCAUGAAAAAGAAACUCACGGCAUCCAAGAAACAGGAGAUCCAACCCAGGAAAGAGGCAAGAGAAAGUGCCGCUGCCACAGCUGCCCAGCAGGCCUGGAGAGGAAUCAGUCCCAAACAAAGCAGAAGAACAGAGAACUGCAAGGUAAACUCUACACUCAUUGUCGGGCUUACACUCAUGACCCAGAGAUCAAGAGUCACAUGCUCUACUGAGUGAGCCAGCCAGGAGC